GACGAACGCUGGCGGCGUGCCUAAUGCAUGCAAGUAGAACGCACAGUUUAUACCGUAGCUUGCUACACCAUAAACUGUGAGUUGCGAACGGGUGAGUAACGCGUAGGUAACCUGCCUGGUAGCGGGGGAUAACUAUUGGAAACGAUAGCUAAUACCGCAUAAUAUUGAUUAUUGCAUGAUAAUUGAUUGAAAGAUGCUAUUGCAUCACUACCAGAUGGACCUGCGUUGUAUUAGCUAGUAGGUGAGGUAACGGCUCACCUAGGCGACGAUACAUAGCCGACCUGAGAGGGUGAUCGGCCACACUGGGACUGAGACACGGCCCAGACUCCUACGGGAGGCAGCAGUAGGGAAUCUUCGGCAAUGGACGAAAGUCUGACCGAGCAACGCCGCGUGAGUGAAGAAGGUUUUCGGAUCGUAAAGCUCUGUUGUAAGAGAAGAACGGGUGUGAGAGUGGAAAGUUCACACUGUGACGGUAUCUUACCAGAAAGGGACGGCUAACUACGUG
rnacentral:rRNA from 1 species